GCAGCACGGUGGUGUAGUGGUUAGCGCUAUCACCUCACAGCAAGAAGGUCGUGGGUUCAAAUCCGGCCUGGGGCC